GACGAACGCUGGCGGCGUGCUUAACACAUGCCAGUCGAACGGAAAGGCCCUGCUUUUGUGGGGUGCUCGAGUGGCGAACGGGUGAGUAACACGUGAGUAACCUGCCCUUGACUUUGGGAUAACUUCAGGAAACUGGGGCUAAUACCGGAUAGGAGCUCCUGCUGCAUGGUGGGGGUUGGAAAGUUUCGGCGGUUGGGGAUGGACUCGCGGCUUAUCAGCUUGUUGGUGGGGUAGGGGCUUACCAAGGCUUUGACGGGUAGCCGGCCUGAGCGGGUGACCAGCCACAUUGGGACUGAGAUACGGCCCAGACUCCUACGGGAGGCAGCAGUGGGGAAUAUUGCACAAUGGGCGGAAGCCUGAUGCAGCAACGCCGCGUGCGGGAUGACGGCCUUCGGGUUGUAAACCGCUUUCGCCUGUGACGAAGCGUGAGUGACGGUAAUGGGUAAAGAAGCACCGGCUAACUACGUG
rnacentral:rRNA from 1 species